UUAGGAUUUCCCAGUGUGAUUGGCUGCAUAGAUGCACACACAUCCCCAUCACAGCUCCCUCACAUCAUGAACAGGAAGUCCAUUCACAGCAUAAAUGUGCAGGUAGGCUACAGGUAGACUGACUACUGUUUCUAAAUGUUGAAGACUGCAUCAUAGUUCAACAUCUGUCAUUCUCUGCACUGUCCAGAUCAUAUGUGAUGCUGCAUACAUCAUUUCUAAUGUGGAGGCCAAGUGGUCUGGGUCUGUUCAUGACUCCAGGAUUUAUGGAGAGUCUAACCUGAGCAACAGACUGCAGCGUGGAGAGUUUGAUGGCCUUCUGCUGGGUGACAGGGGUUACCAUGCCAACCCAGGCUGAUGACCUCAUACCCUGACCCUGAACCAGGCCCCCAACAGAACUUCAACCGGACUCACUGCAGGACCAGAGCCCGGGUGGAGAUGACCAUAGGCCUGCUGAAAGCCCGUUUCCAGAGCCUACGUCUCCUCAGGGUGACCCCUGAGAGGGCCUGUGAUAUUACUGUGGCAUGUGUUGUUCUUCAUAAUAUUACCACUAUUAGAGGAGAGCAACACCCUGCCCUACAAACUGAAGACCCAGAUGAUGAGCCCAUCCACCUGCAGCUAUCCAGGACAGCAGAGCAGUCAGAGACACCGUAUGCAAUAAUCACUUUAGAGUUUAAGUCACCAUCAUCACCACCACAGCAAAUAAAGACAUGAUACACAUUU